rnacentral:rRNA from 1 species
ACUGCUCAGUAACACGUGGACAACCUGCCCAAAGGUCCGGGAUAACCCCGGGAAACUGGGGAUAAUACCGGAUAAAUCACAAAUACUGGAAUGGUUUUGUGGUUGAAACUUCCGGGGCCUUUGGAUGGGUCUGCGGCUGAUUAGGUUGUUGCCGGUGUAACGUACCGUCAAGCCUGUAAUCAGUACGGGUUGUGGGAGCAAGAGCCCGGAGAUGGAUUCUGAGACACGAAUCCAGGCCCUACGGGGCGCAGCAGGCGCGAAAACUCUACAAUGCAGGCAACUGCGAUAGGGGAACAUCGAGUGAUACUCAUCUUGGGUGUCUGUCCUCCCGUCUAAAAAACGGGAGUUAGCAAGGGCCGGGCAAGACCGGUGCCAGCCGCCGCGGUAAUACCGGCGGCUCGAGUGGUGGCCGAUAUUAUUGAGUCUAAAGGGUCCGUAGCCGGCUUUGCAAGUCUUUUGGGAAAUCCAGCGGCUUAACCGUUGGUCGUCCGGGAGAUACUACAUUGCUUGGGACUGGGAGAGGUAGGAGGUACUCAGGGGGUAGGAGUGAAAUCCUGUAAUCCUUUGGGGACCACCGGUGGCGAAGGCGUCCUACCAGAACAGGUCCGACGGUGAGGGACGAAAGCUAGGGGCACGAACCGGAUUAGAUACCCGGGUAGUCCUAGCCGUAAACGAUGCUCGCUAGGUGUCACAACAGUCGUGAACUGUUGUGGUGCCGUAGGGAAGCCGUGAAGCGAGCCACUUGGGAAGUACGACCGCAAGGUUGAAACUUAAAGGAAUUGGCGGGGGAGCAC